rnacentral:rRNA from 1 species
UACAGAGGUCCCAAGCGUUGUUCGGAUUCACUGGGCGUAAAGGGUGCGUAGGUGGGCUUGUAAGUCGGAUGUGAAAGCCCCGGGCUUAACCUGGGAACAGCAUCCGAAACUAUAAGUCUUGAAUGCUUCAGAGGUUGGUAGAAUUCCAGGUGUAGGAGUGAAAUCCGUAGAUAUCUGGAGGAAUACCGGGAGGCGAAGGCGGCCAACUGGGAAUGCAUGACACUGAGGUGCGAAAGCGUGGGGAGCAACAGG